GGUUCAAAGAUCAUCAUAUUUUGCUCAACAGAGAAAAUGUGCAACCAGCCUUCUUGUGGCAUUGUCGUUGUCUUGGUGCUGCAAGCAUUCAUGGUGAUAAAUCACAGGGCCGUGGUACUGCUGUGACUGGACGUGUCCAACAAGGGACAAUUAAAACUGUUGACCAUGUUGAGAUCUUUGGUUUGUCAGAGUUCUAAGGCAAGCACAUGUCUAAGGCAUGAAUUUUCUUAGUUGCCACUGGCUUGUUGAUCUUUGCUGGUUCCGGCCUAGCAUUUUUUUAUGGAUUCCAGCUCGGUGCCUUUGAAUUUAUGUAAUGCCACUAUGAAGCAGCUUCAGACAUUAGCUCAGGAGCUUCCUCGUGUUAGUUAUGGCACAGCAUAAUACAUCUUAGACGUGACGAUGCAGGGCAGCGAACAGCUCCCAGUGCUUUUGGUUUAUUCUGUGCCCUUGAUUUACCUGCCAGGUCAAAUUUGUGCAACACUUAAUGCUCUGUGCCAUGAUGUCUAUGUUGCUUCAUUAGACAAUCUUCGCCGCUAUUUUGAUUACAGUUUCCUCCCAGACCUCCAACCGUACUAGGGAUAGUGCUUGAUAUUUUCACCACCUAUAUGGUUGAAUGUUACUGUUGAGAAAAUCACCAGCUCAUUGCUGUGAGGGCUUGAUGUUUCCACACAAUGUUUUGUCCAUUUAAGCAAAUACCUGAUGGCUUAGCCCGACAAACAUUUUUUUAAAGUUAAUCAAUGCCUUUUACAAGAACCUAACAUCGUCUCUUUCUACAAAGGGCCUUGUUU